AUUCUGUGGAUUAGAGGCUGAACUGGAGUAGGUAUUUGUGGAGUGGGUACCCUGUGUUGGUCACUUUGCUAGAUGCUAGGGCUAUAGCCACAAACAGCAAUUCUAACAUUGUCCUGACUUCAUAGAGAGGGACAUCUCAUCAUACAAGUAUUUCUAUGAAGUAUGAGGAUGGGGUGUCACAGAGGCCUCCACAAGGGCACUCUGCACAUGUAACAAAUGAUUUACAUGGAAACACGAAACCUAGGUAUUUGCUCCCAGUGAUAAUGAAAUCUCCCGUGGGUCUGCUCUAAAGGUGUGGACUGAGUCACCCCCUCUUCUGUCACAACACUUGCCUUUGGAGGCUCCUGGAAGGAAAGCAAUGUACAAAUGUUUGUUAACCUAUGUGCUGAUUAGAGGAUGUUUGCCAGCGGUCACCUGGAGCAGCCCUUCAGUGCUGCUGAGUUCACCAAGAGGCUUCUAGAGUCAAGUGCUUUAGUCCAGUCCAGGUGGAGAACAUUGUACUUUGAGGCUAUACUGCAGAAGAGGUAACACAUUGACCUAGCAAUUGAAGGACAUGGAUUCUUUUUCUGGUUCUGCAACUCUGAAUUUGAGCAAGAUUUUAUCUUCUCCAGAUCUCAGAUUUCUCAUUGGGAGAGGAGCGAAGCUGUGCCUGGUUAUCCAUAUGAUCCCUGCCAUCACUGAUCUCCAGGAAUUCUGUACCUCAUAUGCUGAAACCAGCUUUAUGGAAUAAGAAUGUCCUGAGCAGUGGUCAUGGCACCAACCCCCCUUGGAUAGUUGGUUUUACUUGAACCCAGCUAAGCUUAAUUUCCUGGCUCCAUUAAUAUUUACCCCUGUGCUGGCCAGAGAACAUCAGGGUGGAGAAGUUUCAGUAUAAACAAGUAAGAAAAUGUUCUCGGAAACUAAUGAUCUUAUCUGGUCAGAAUGAAUGAAGAAGGUUUAGUGUUCAUCUCUUCAUCGGCAUUAUUGACAGCAUUUAUGCCACAGAGAGAAACAAACACCAGUCACUUUAAUUGAUUUCCAUGGAGGCCACAACACUCUUCCCAUUUGGAUUCACUAAGGUUGGGCAAUCCCACACCCAGCUCACAUUCAACACUUUCUCUCCUUACCCGUCACCCCAACUCUGUUCACUCCCCCAUAUCAUGUACAUAUGUGUCCAUUUCUCUAACCAUCCCAUCACAAUGUGAUCCUCUCAGAGGACAAGGGCCAUAGUUUGUUCUUUACCUAAUCUUUCUGUUGUGCACCCAUCAAGUCUGGGGGAGACAAAUAAAGAACAACUGUAAUGCCUUUGAAUCUUAAUUCUCCACCAGAGUUUUUCCUGCAAGUUCAAUUGCCUGUGGAGUCCCCAUCAUCCCCAAACAUGUCCCUUGAGUCCCUGGCCUGAGGGGCUGAUAGUUCUCCUCUGUAGCUCUUCACUGCUACCACUGGUGGAAGACAGAUCCACAGAGCUCACUGCUGCUAGCAGCAGGAGACCAGGGCCCUGCUCCUUUUGGCUUCAUUGCUCACCAUGUGGACUCUCUCAAAGUUUUUACUCCUGCCUCUAAUCACAGAAGGGGAAACUUCUCUCUUCAUCAGUGUUAACAAUUCCCUUGAGACUCCUCCCACCUCCCAAGGGAAUCUGAUGCUCUCCAUUUACGUCUGUGUCUGCAGGUGAGCAAAGCAUUCCCAAAGCUAGACGAGAGGACAUUGACUGAUACCACGCAAUGUCUUAUUCCCACCAACCGUGAAUGGAUGUCCAAGGUCAGGAUGGAUAGGAAUAAUUCAAGAUCAUGUAGGGGCACCUGGUGGCUCAAUCAGUUGAGCUUCUGACUUCGGC